GAUGCCCGACCUGCCCGCCACCUGUCCAUGCUGUUGCAAUGGCCUGCACGUCGAGGAUCAUGAUUCCGGUAAUGAUCGUGCUUCUCCAAGAAGGAUCGACCCCGCCGAUGGACAGCAGCUAUUAUUGAAUCCCCACCGGUAAUUCCUUCUCCUCGUCCUUUCCUCUCUUGAUUCCCUUCGUUCUCUUGUUUUCCUUCCCGACUAAUUCUUCUCCGUGUUCCAGGUCUACAGUCCCAACCAGCUCCGAGCACGAGUCCCUGUCGCCGCCUCACUCUGCUGAUCACUCCCUUAUUCCUCGCUGUUUCAAUUCUUCCUUUGUAAUCCCUAUUUUCGCAAUUAAUAAAGAUCACAGAGUUCUCCAUCUU
rnacentral:lncRNA from 1 species